CGCCACCUCAGUGACAGGCAAGGACUGAGGGUGCAAGCUGGCGGACAGAGAGCCGUUACCAGCACUUCCUGACUCUGCCCAGUCAUUCUAGGGACGAUGCUGUGUAAGGCCCGUGGUUGGCAGCUGGAAGAGGGAGAAGCGUAUGGAUUCUCGUGGUGUGUGGCGGGGCCUCUGAACUCACCCAGCCUUUGAGACACAGCCCGUGUUGGCUGGGCUGGGGCUGGCCUGGUCCUGUCUUUCAGUGUCCAGUACUGGGCGCCACUGGGUCUGGCCAGCCCCCCUGUCCUUUGGACGGCCACGGCUCGGAGCUCCCUGGCCUUGCCUCUCAGUCUCCGCCUUGUCUGUCAUCUGUCCCCAGGCUCUGUGAUGAUGACCUCGUGGGAGGCCGGCUCACAGCUACACCUGUUUCCCUGCGGGGCGCACAUAGGAGCCUUGGGUCUUUUCAGGCCCCGUGGAAGCAGAGGGAGAGUCAGGCUGUUUACCUAAUAGACUCCACGGCCGCUGCCUCCCCGGUGUGGACCCAGCAGCACGAGGAAGCUUCUUAGACCCUAGCUUGGUCCCUACUCCUCUCAGAGCCUCUCUCAUCUCGCCCUUUCAUUGCUCACCAGGCUGGGUCUUUCUACAACCCAGCUCUGCAAGGAGGGAUCAGGAGACACCCCGUCUGCUCCCCGCAUCUCUUCCUCAGCAGCUCCUCUCGGCUAGAAGGGCGUCUACCUCCCUUUCCUGCUGGGCGAGGCUUCCGUGAUGAAGUCCUCCAUGCCCUCUUCAAACUCCACGGUCAAGCUGGCCACCUCUGGCUCUUGAGAGACUCAGGGAGCUUUUGGAACCUAGAAUAAUGUGUGUCCUUUCUCAACAAAGACUGACUUUGAAGACCUGUCUCCCCAUGACCUCUGAAAAUGUCAAUUUCGACAGGCAAAUAUCUUCCAGGUAGUCUCCAGAUGACCCAUGGUAACGGCCGGCUUUGGGGGUGUGACUAAGACUGCAGUUGUGUAGGACAAGUCAGGCUGCGACCCUCCUCUUGGCACACGGAGGUGGCAGCCUUUGUGGACGAGGCAGCCUGUUCUCCUUUCUUAGCCCAUCUCUGAACUGAUGAAAGCCAGAUCUGCCGGUCCUCAGCAGGCUUCCUCUGCUUAGUCACUGCCCAGGAUGCUGGAACCAAACAUGCCUCAAAGAACGGCCUCUGACUUCCACGCUGAAAUCUCCGCUCAUUCAUCCCCUUGGUCUCCACGCAGCCUUUAUUGAGGACGUACUGUGGGUUCGGCUCUGUGAGAACCCAGACAGAGGAGACAGAAGAGCUGCCUUCCAGACGCUUGAAGGCGUACAAGUCCAUAAAGGACCAGUGGCAGCUAUGGUUCCGGGGCAAAAUCCAAUAUAACCUGGACAAACGGGUCCAGAGAAUCAAGGAAAAGCAAGACUGCGGGGUCUGAUUUUCAUGGCUUCUAAAUAGAAGGCGGCUGCAAGAUAUUUACCCCUGAUAAAGGCCACUGUGCUUCGGGCAAGGUACAAAUCUGGGAUUUUGCCUCUGUAGACGAGUGUUCCACCAGG
rnacentral:lncRNA from 1 species